GCUCGUAAGGUCGUCGCUCGUCGACGCUCGCUUCGAUACGGACGAUAAGUUGGCCCGGUAUCUUGAACGAAUUUUAUCGCGAUCAACAUUUUUCGACGGCAUCUGUAGAUAAUUGAAAAUGUAGAACGAAAACUGUAGCGAUAACCGGCGAUAAACGGGGGCUCAUAUCAGCCGAAUAUCCCAAUUAGCCGAUCAUUUUUAUACCGCUAAUGGACGAGUUGUAUCUAUAAAACGAAGCUGGGAGCGUUGGAUACACACAGUGUGGAGAAUGUUCGGAAUGUGGUGGUUGGUGGUGACCCUUACUUUUAGCGCCGGAACAGCCGGAGCUAUUCCGUCACGUCUUGUUACGUUUCCCUUGACCCUGGAAUUGGGCGACGACGAUCGAACGUUGUCCUUGACACGGGAGGAUCACGGUAUCUCGUACACCCUCAAUGAGAAAACGCGAAGCACCUCGGCCAAAGUCCUGAUCGGCGGCGCCGAAACCAAGAGCGGAAUAACGCCGACGGAAUACUCGGCGAGAUAUUGCGAAACGGAAUUCGAUAAAUGCGUCGAAUUGGCCGGCGAUGAUUUCAACAUCACCUUCGAAAUCGACGCGAGUCGAGCGUUGUACACCUUCUCGUACGUCACGCUGAGCAGCGAUUCGCCCGACGCCGAAUUGGGAGUCAGUAUCGAACUCGAGGAAAAUGUUCAAUGGUACGGCGGUCCCGAAGCGAGACGUCAAAUUUGGCCUGUACAGGAUUCCGUUUGGAACGACACGAGUUACGUGACGAAAGAAUUGAGCCAAUCGAUAGCCAUGUCGAUCGCUGAACCGUUUUGGGUCAGCAGCAAAGGAGAUUUUUUCUACUUUCCCUCGGCCACCUCACUUUUCUUGGAUCAGAACAACCGUUACGAGGACACGAUUUAUCUUUACACGAAAAACAAGAGCCCCUUCAGGAGUCCGGAUCACGCUCGACUCGAGUACGCCACAGCUCUUACCUCGGAUCCAAGGUCGGCCUACGAAGUGGCGUCCGACCGAUUUUUUCCCAGACCAACGAGCAUUCCGCACGAAACUAUCAUAGCUAAACCUAUAUGGUCGACGUGGGCUCGUUACAAAUCGAAAAUAAACGAAUCGCUCGUUCGCGAUUACGCGAAGGAGAUCGUUGACCACGGUUUCGAAUACAGUCAGCUGGAGAUCGACGAUUUUUGGGAAGACUGUUACGGCACACUAAAUUUCGACGCGAGCGAUAACAAGUUUCCCGACAUCAAGAAGCUGACCGACGAUCUUCACGAGCUCGGAUUCAUGGUCAGCCUCUGGGUAACACCUUUCGUAAACCUUGAGUGCGAAACGGUUUACAACGAGGCGUUGUCGAAGGGUUACUUCGUUCGGGACGUCGACGGAAAAGUGAACGCCACGUGGUGGCAGGGAAGCAGCGCGGGUGUCGUCGACUUCACCAACAAGAAAGCGGCGAAAUGGUACACGGCGAGGCUCGAGAAUCUGAAAUCAAAGGCUGGCAUCGACUACUACAAAUUCGACGCCGGUGAAACCUCGUGGCUACCGACACCCGCCAAUCUUACGGGGGACGUUGAAAGAUCGCCGAAUAUAUUCACCGAGGAAUACGUCAGGGCUGUUGCCGCCUUCGGGAAUGGAUCCGAAGUGCGAUCCGGCUAUCGGAGCCAGGAUCUCGAUAUCAUGGUCAGGAUGUUGGACAAGGACUCCGAUUGGACUUUGGACAAUGGCCUGCCGACCUUGAUAAACACUUUGCUGGUCUUGAAUAUAGCCGGCUACGGUUUCGUUCUCCCCGACAUGGUUGGCGGUAACGGAGUAAAGGGAAGUUCGCUGGUGGACACGAAACUACCGAGUAAGGAACUUUACAUCAGAUGGCUUCAGGCGAACACCUUCAUGCCGGUUAUACAGUACUCCAUCGUACCCUGGGACUACGACGAAGAGACUGUGAAAAUCUGCUUGAAAUAUACCGAGUUGCACGAGAGAUACGCCCCGACGAUAAUCGAGGCAAUGAAUGCCACGGUGGCAACCGGAGCGCCAGUCAAUCCUCCGGUCUGGUGGGUCGACCCGUUGAAUACAGAGGCCCACAAAAUAAAAGACCAAUACAUGUUGGGCGAGGUCGUCGUGGUCGCUCCGGUUAUAGCUGAGGGUGCAACUUCGAGGGAUAUUUUUUUGCCCACUGGUUCGUGGAGAGACGGUACCACUCUCAAUUUGUACAAGGGUCCGACGUGGAUCUUCAACUAUUCCGCACCUCUGGACGUUCUUCCUUACUUCGUUGAGGAAGAAUAUUGGAAGGCUCACAAGAGCGCCGCUUCCCAAACGACUUUCAGUCUGACAGCCGUCCUCGCAUCCGCCGUGUUGUUCGCGGCGAUUAAACUGUUUUGAUGAAUAUCUUAUGAAAUUUUAGAAAUCCUGGGAUCGUCGCAAGCUUCAAAGAUAUUUUUACCUCCGGUAGAAGUCAGGCGAGAUUUGAAAGAGGAAUUUUUUUUCGUGAUCAUCCGCUCUCCGUUGCAACACAUGUUCGUAAUCUACAUCAAGUUGUCCGAUUAAUGAUAACCCGUGAUUUUUCGGUGUCAAGUAUAUUAUUAUUUAUUCGCGUUUGCUCCGAAGUGUUUGAUAACAGAAAUCAGAGGAAUUGAUUGAUCAAUCGGACGAGGAGCCAGUCGAUUAAUCUUUUAACGAUUCUGUCGGCGAUAAUAUUUAUCGAUUUUGAAGUCGAGUCUGUUUCACGGAUUUAUACGAGUUCGGAAAUAUGUGUGUGUGUGUGUAGGUAAUAUGUGAAAGAAUUGUGUCGAAUUUCCGAAAUGUUAAUUUUUUACUUUGCAUAUCAUUAUUCCACCCUUGGCUGUUCAGCGGAUUCAAACAUACUUUACAAGGAUCUUUCGUACGGUAGACGAGACACGUGACUUAUCAACACCGAUGGUUGACGCCGAGCUAAGUUCAUUAUGCUAAGUAGUAACAGUCAAGCGACGCAAAGUACUGCAGAAAGACACUUACGAGUCGUCUCGCUUAUUGCUACGCAAUUUGCUACCCCGCUCGUCUCGACUUCUGCAGUGAAAAUUUUCUCCUGACAUUUCUAUUUUUUUUUUUUUGUUUUACAAAAUGAACUUGAGAGGUAUGAGAUUUUUUCUUCUUAUCACUUCACUUUCACAUUGACAGCUGUAAAAAUAACUUGACUCUGAAAACGUUGGGACCGAAUUGAGCUACGAAUCUUUCCCAUCGAGAUAUCUGAACUUCAUUAUUGGCUCUGAGAUUCCGAUUUCUGUGAUCAAAAUACAUGAGAGCACCAUAGAAUCCCGAUAGUGAGAAAUAUUUUGACU
rnacentral:misc_RNA from 1 species